CCUUUUGAAACUUAUGGAACUCUGCCUUGUGCCUGCAAUGACGACGCUGUGGGACAACCUCCAGCAGAACAAAGCGCAGAUUGCGCUACUGCAUCAGGAAGAAGCAGCGCUUGGCCUUAGAUUCGAUCGGCAGACAGCCAGGAAACAAGCCGGACGCGAUGGCACGCGAUGGAACUCAGAGCGUACUCA